GAUGAACGCUGGCGGCGUGCCUAACACAUGCAAGUCGAACGGAGUUACUUUGGUGAAGUUUUCGGACGGAUCUGAUUUAGCUUAGUGGCGGACGGGUGAGUAAUGCGUGAGCAACCUGCCCUUCAGAGGGGGACAACAGUUGGAAACGACUGCUAAUACCGCAUAAUGUAUUCUGACCGCAUGAUCGGAAUACCAAAGAUUUAUUGCUGAAAGAUGGCCUCGCGUCUGAUUAGAUAGUUGGUGAGGUAACGGCUCACCAAGUCGACGAUCAGUAGCCGGACUGAGAGGUUGAACGGCCACAUUGGGACUGAGAUACGGCCCAAACUCCUACGGGAGGCAGCAGUGGGGAAUAUUGCACAAUGGGGGGAAACCCUGAUGCAGCGACGCCGCGUGAGCGAAGAAGUAUUUCGGUAUGUAAAGCUCUAUCAGCAGGGAAGAAAAAAAAUGACGGUACCUGACUAAGAAGCCCCGGCUAACUAACGUG
rnacentral:rRNA from 1 species